rnacentral:rRNA from 1 species
UACGUAGGGUCCGAGCGUUGUCCGGAAUUACUGGGCGUAAAGAGCUCGUAGGUGGUUUGUCGCGUUGUUCGUGAAAACUCACAGCUCAACUGUGGGCGUGCGGGCGAUACGGGCAGACUUGAGUACUGCAGGGGAGACUGGAAUUCCUGGUGUAGCGGUGGAAUGCGCAGAGUAUCAGGAGGAACACCGGUGGGCGAAGGCGGGUCUCUGGGCAGUAACUGACGCUGGAGGAG